AGUAAUAGAGGAAAACUAGCUCGAGAUCUGGCAGUCGAGACUGAGAGGUCGAUCGACCACACUGGGUCUGAAAAAAGCCCAGGACAGAUUGUACAGCAGUGGGGGAUAUUGGUCAAUAGUCGAAAGACUGAACCAGCAACUUGGAAGAAUGGAAAAAUGGAAGUCAUAUAAAGUUCUAGAUAAAAUAAAGAGAAUGACGAUUUUUUAUCUAUAAGUCUUGACCAAAUUACGUGCCAGCAGUCGCGGUAACACGUAGAAGACAAGUGUUAUUCAUCUUUAUUUGGUAUAUAGGGUACCUAGACGGAUUACCAAGCCUUAACAAAGGGACUAGUUUUCUAGAGUUUUAUGUGGGAAUACACGAAUUACCAGAGGAGAGACAAAAUGUUAUUAUACUGGUAGGACGGGUCACGGCGAAGGCUUUAUUCUAAGUAAAAACUGACGUUGAGGGACGAAGCCUAGGGGAGCGAUAAGGAUUUGAUACCCUAGUAGUCCUAGGAGAAAAUUAUGAGUGCCAUAGGUUAGUUAAUUUUGGCCUAUAAAUGAAAGUGCAAGCACUCCACCUCAUGACUAAGGCGGAAAUGCACAAAUUGAAAUCAUUAGACCGUUUCUGAAACCAGUAGUGAAGUAUGUUAUUUAAUUCGAUGAUCCGCGAAUAACCUUACCACGUCUUGAAUAUUAUAUCCUUCAAGUGCUGCACGGCUGUCUUCAGUUAAUGUCGUGAGACUUUGGUUAGUUCCUUUAAUUAACGAAAACCCUAGCUUUAUUUACUUUUAAAGUGUUUUUCUAUAUAUAGAAAUAAGAACAGGGACCAAGAC
rnacentral:rRNA from 1 species